CCUACGGGGAGCAGCAGUGAGGAAUAUUGGUCAAUGGACGAGAGUCUGAACCAGCCAAGUAGCGUGAAGGAUGAAUGCCCUAUGGGUUGUAAACUUCUUUUAUAUGGGAAUAAAAUGUUCCAAGUGUGGGAGUUUGUAUGUACCAAAUGAAUAAGGAUCGGCUAACUCCGUGCCAGCAGCCGCGGUAAUACGGAGGAUCCUAGCGUUAUCCGGAUUUAUUGGGUUUAAAGGGAGCGUAGGUGGAUUGUUAAGUCAGUUGUGAAAGUUUGCGGCUCAACCGUAAAAUUGCAGUUGAAACUGGCAGUCUUGAGUACAGUAGAGGUGGGCGGAAUUCGUGGUGUAGCGGUGAAAUGCUUAGAUAUCACGAAGAACUCCGAUUGCGAAGGCAGCUCACUGGACUGCAACUGACACUGAGGCUCGAAAGUGUGGGUAUCAAACAGGAUUAGAUACCCGAGUAGUC
rnacentral:rRNA from 1 species